CUAUGUGGCCAAACACUUGAAGAGC
rnacentral:piRNA from 1 species